GGGAAAUUUCCUGCCGCGGAAAAAACAGGGGUACUCUCCACUCCAGAUCCAAACUGUGUUUUUUUUUCUUCACGCUGAAGCUCUAGUGCUCUAUCCCUCAAUCCUUGGGAUCCACCAUUUGAGAUCUGGUUUAAAUUCCGUUUCCAGAUUCUGGUGCGGAAUCUGAUACAACCAAGCUGCAUACUACUCGCUGAUUCGCUGGUAAGGGAAAUAAAGAUAUAUAUUAGCUCCAAUGGCUGUGAGAAAGCCCGGUUUGAUUGCUUUAUUUGAUGUUGAUGGUACUCUCACAGCACCAAGAAAGGUAUCUAUUGUCUUCUUUCAUUUUUGUUCGUUUGGAUUUUAAUGAUUUUUCCUUUUUAUUUAUUAGGUAUAAUGAGACUUAAGCAAGUUACCAUUAUUAAUUCAUUAAGUUACAGGGCAAAAGCCAAAAUUUGUGGGCUGUUUCUUAUUUUGUUAGACUAUAUGUGGAAUUGACUCCUUGUUUAAUGUUUUCGAUUCAAAUUCCAGCUGGCCACUCCAAAGAUGCUAGAGUUCAUGCAGGAACUCCGGAAAGUAUGCAUUGGUUUAGUAUCAUUAAAAAUUUGUUCAAUUAUUGCUUUUGUUUGUGUUUUCUUCUCCACCCUUCAUCAAGUGUUACCAUAUACAUGAUAGCCUUUGUUCGACUGAAGGUUGUUACUGUGGGAGUGGUGGGUGGAUCUGAUCUCUGUAAGAUAUCAGAGCAGCUUGGCAAGACAGUUACUAAGGACUACGACUAUGUAUUUUCUGAGAAUGGGCUUGUGGCUCAUAAAGAUGGGAAACUUAUUGGCACCCAGGUAUUGCUUACAAACAAAAUCCGUAAAACUUAAGCUCAGAAUUAGAUUUUUGUUUUCCUCAAAAUUCCUGAUGGGCAAUGACUUGUGUGAACCUAACUUUUUCCUCUAAAUUGAUAUGUCGUUCCAACAACAUUUUCUGUUUUCUAGAGCAUGAAGACAUUUCUUGGAGAAGAAAAGCUCAAGAUAAGUUACUUAUGCUUCCACAUAAACAUCUUGAAGUAGUUGCCUAAGAAAACAGGGGGGAAACGGACAACUGGAAUAAAUAGAAUAAUAUAAGAAAUAUGUAAGGAAUAAUGUUUUAAGGAAGCCACUAAGUAGGCUGACAUGCAGCAUGCACUUAUCUUCUCAAUACUUGUGGCUAUAGUAUUUGCCCCUGUGAGACUGCCUGCAGAUAGGACCAACAAUAAGCAAUUUAAAAGUAUUAGGACUUGAUUAAAAAUAAAUAAAUAAAAGAAGAAGAAGAAGAUUGGGCUUGCUUGUAAAAAAGGACCAUGUUUUAUUACUGAAAAUGUAGUUCUCUCAUAAUUUUUUGGAAGCCUCUAUGAUGAAGACCAAUUACGAAUUAAUUGUGAUACCAAUAUUGAAUUAGAUUUGUUUGGAAUAUUCUUGGAAGUGGUGAUUAAAUUGCAGCUCAAUCGCUAGAUGCACAGAAUACAUAGAUUAGUGGCAUAAUAAUUAUUCCGUUAUUUUUUCUGAUAUAUUGUGAAUGAUUGUGCAGGAAUUUAUAAAUUUUACACUUCAUUAUAUUGCUGACUUGGAUAUUCCAAUAAAAAGGGGCACAUUUAUAGAAUUCCGGAGUGGGAUGAUUAAUGUAUCACCAAUUGGGCGGAAUUGCAGCCAAGAAGAAAGGGAAGAAUUUGAGAAGUAUGACAAGGUCCAUAACAUACGCCCAAAAAUGGUGUCUGUGCUGCGUGAGAAGUUCGCGCACCUUAACCUGACAAUCUCAAUAGGUGGACAGAUAAGUUUUGAUGUUUUUCCUCAAGGUUGGGACAAGACAUACUGCUUGAGAUACCUUGAUGAGUUUGAUGAAAUCCACUUCUUUGGGGACAAAACUUACAAGGUUGUACUUUUAUUUCCUUGCUUAACUCUUUGGCCAUUUUCUUGCAUUAUGUUUUCCAUCAAUCGCUUAUGACACUGCUGUUGAUGACCUCUUUCUUUCUCAUAGAUUUGUUGCCACUAAAUCGUAUGUAUAUGUUUUCUUUCAAAUAAUCAUCAUUUUAUUGGGCCCUUGUGUUAUGUGGAUUGUGUUGUGUCUCUAACUUAAAAUAUUUAUAAGUGCCAUUUCUAUUAUCAUAGGACCUCAUGAUUAUGAAUUCCCUCAAUAUUUCUGGUAGUAGUAUGGUUGGUAUAGCUGGCAUUCUUAAUAAAGAAAUCAUUGAUCAAGAAAACUUUAUUAUCUGAGGUAAAAAGGUUACAGAGUAGCCAAAGAGUUGAAGAAAAUUAAAAUUAUCAAUUUUUUAACUGAUAAUAAUGGUCAUUGAUUCAUUGGAGUGGCAAGCCAGUGUCCCUUUUGCUAUUUGCUAACCCAAAAUUCUAGCACAAGCACUCUUGAGCAGUUGAGCUAUUUUUCACUAAAGUUGAGCAUUUCAGGCCUGUGCACAUCAAUUAUGAUAAAAUCUGAGGAAUGGAUUAUAAUCAGUUCAAAGAAAAAAAGGAAUGUAGUACACUGGAGUAGUAGGAUUCUGAUCAAGGUUGGAGUUGAUUCUCUAAUCUACAGUUAUAUUCUCAAGCCAAAAUGUAUUUACAAUUUUAGACAGAAAGUGAACCCCUGUUCUGAGUCGAAUUCAUCCCCAAAAUUCAGGCUUGGUCCUCAGCCUCAGUGUACCAUUGGCAUUGUACUGUCAGUAUACAUUUUGAGAUCUGUUUUGCUUCUAUUUUACUACUCAGUUGAAUAACCUUGCAUUUACUAAUUCUUUUUUUAAAUCAGGGAGGAAAUGAUCAUGAAAUUUAUGAAUCAGAACGAACUGUGGGUCACCCAGGUCAGCAAAAGAUUUCAUCUUCAACUUAUCUAUCUGCAUAUUGAAUGCAAUAAGGAAAUAGUAUCAUCUCAUUUUGUUUCAAUCUGAUGCAGUCCAAAAGAAACAAACCAAGUGAAAGAAAAUGUUAAGAAAAGAUUGUUCAAAAGGCUAAAGGUUAAUUGUAUUCUCAUUGAAAGAUAGGCUUCCAGAACAGACUAUUAAAGGGGUCUAACAUGGGGCUUUCUCCUAGUUGCCUGGGUAGUCAACCAUCAAAGUUUUGGAACGUACGAUCAACUAAAUAACCAAAGGCUCUCAAAGACGCUUAUAUAAACCUUUCCGUUGGGAAUUCAAAAUAAAUCUUUAUUAUUUAAUGCUGCAUUCAUUCUUCAAUUUGUCCCCAUAAUGUCAAUAGAUUUUGAGGUUUGAGAUCCCAUGUUCUUUUGUUUACCAUCCAUUACCGCAUCAAAAUUGUUACAUAUGAUGGAGUUGCUACAGUAAAUUCAGAUUUCAUCUAGUUAUUAAAAUAUAUAUUUAAUUUGCCUUGUUUAUAUUAUAUCAAAUGAUUUCGAUCCUGCCUUUUUGCAGUUAUCAGCCCUGAAGAUACAGUGGAGCAAUGUAAAGCUUUGUUCUUAGUAAAUUCCUAAGCUUAUGGGCUAUUUUUAUGUUCAGUUGUAUCCCAUUGAGUUCACUUACCAAAUGGGAAAUGAAUUGUUGAAAUCUCGACCCUAUUCAAUUCGAUUAAAUUGAUUAUUAUUUUUAUAGAUAGAUAUGGUAAUUAUCUAAGUAAAUAUUAUAAGUUUGUUACUUUUAAUACGUACAUGUUUAAUUAUAAG
rnacentral:misc_RNA from 1 species